UACGAAGGGGGCUAGCGUUGCUCGGAAUUACUGGGCGUAAAGCGUGCGCAGGCGGUGAUGUAAGACAGGUGUGAAAUCCCCGGGCUUAACCUGGGAACUGCAUUUGUGACUGCAUCGCUGGAGUGCGGGCAGAGGGGGAUGGAAUUCCGCGUGUAGCAGUGAAAUGCGUAGAUAUGCGGAGGAACACCGAUGAGCACGAAGGGCCAAUCCCCUGGCCUGCACUGACGCUCAUGCACGAAAGCGUGGGGGAGCAAACAGG
rnacentral:rRNA from 1 species